GUCUCAAAGCGGCUACAAUACACCGGCGAGACAUCAAGAUCCACCACAAUGGCAACCUUGGCUUUCUCCAUCGCGCGUGUUGCCCGUCGCGCGUCAGCCAGAUCUCUACAAGCCGGUGGCGAUCUUAUCCUCCGCAGCUACCGCAUCGCUGGACUUCAUCCCCGGAGCAACCUUACUGGCCAUUCCUCCUCCAAUCGCGCCAUCCAGUUGUUCGGAUGCGCCCAUCACGGCGCUCGCCGCCCUCUGUCCACCCCUUCUUUCAACGGAGUCAACUCCGAAGCAGAUCAACAGGACAAGUUUAUUGCAGAGGAGAAGGACUUGUAGUCAGACGAAGCAAUGUGGGCCUUGUAUCACCGCUGGUGCAAGCAUUUCAAGAUGGAGCGUGACCAUGAUGAAAUGGUUCGUCGUUUUGCUGAGUUCAAGAACUGUGUACUGCAUGUGCAUCAAGUGAACAGAGCGGGUCUCUCGUACAAGUUAGCUAUAAACAAAAGUGCCGAUACUUCUAUUGAAGAGAAAAGAAAGGUUUUAGUCAGCCUACGUGGCGGAGAGGUGGCCUCUGGGCGAUUAAAAGCUGUGGGCUGUCUGCUGACGACUGAAUAAUCACCACCAUUAGUCGUGGGCCUUGUCUGCCUCUUUGCUUGUCUAAUAGAUUAUAUAAGCUAGGUUAACAGGCCGCCUCCGUUUGCUGACGGCUGAAUAAUCACCACCAUUAGUUGUGGGCCUUGUCUGCCUCUUCGCUUGUCUAAUACUCUCUCCGUUCCAAAUUAUAAGUCAUUCCAA